rnacentral:rRNA from 1 species
UAGUCAGCUGGUGUCGUGAGAUGUUGGGUUAAGUCCCGCAACGAGCGCAACCCUUACCGUCAGUUGCUACGCAAGAGCACUCUGGCAGGACUGCCGUUGACAAAACGGAGGAAGGUGGGGAGGACGUCAAAUCAUCAUGCCCCUUAUAUCUUGGGCUACACACGUACUACAAUGGCGCAAACAAAGAGCAGCGACCCCGUGAGGGCGAGCGAAUCUCAUAAAAGGCGUCCCAGUUCGGACUGCAGGUUGCAACUCGCCUGCAAGAAGUUGGAAUUGGUAGUAAUCGAGAAUCAGCAUGUCGCGGUGAAUACGUUCCCGGGCUUUGUACACACCGCCCGUCAAACCAUGAAAGUUGAAAACACCUGAAGCCGAUGAGCUAACCGCAAGGAGGCAGUCGUCGAAGGUGGGUUCAAUGAUUGGGGUUAAGUCGUAACAAGGUAGCCGUA